rnacentral:rRNA from 1 species
GAUGAACGCUGGCGGCGUGCCUAAUACAUGCAAGUCGAGCGAACGGACGAGAAGCUUGCUUCUCUGAUGUUAGCGGCGGACGGGUGAGUAACACGUGGAUAACCUACCUAUAAGACUGGGAUAACUUCGGGAAACCGGAGCUAAUACCGGAUAAUAUUUUGAACCGCAUGGUUCAAAAGUGAAAGACGGUCUUGCUGUCACUUAUAGAUGGAUCCGCGCUGCAUUAGCUAGUUGGUAAGGUAACGGCUUACCAAGGCAACGAUGCAUAGCCGACCUGGGAGGGUGAUCGGCCACACUGGAACUGAGACACGGUCCAGACUCCUACGGGAGGCAGCAGUAGGGAAUCGUCCGCAAUGGGCGAAAGCCUGACGGAGCAACGCCGCGUGAGUGAUGAAGGUCUUCGGAUCGUAAAACUCUGUUAUUAGGGAAGAACAUAUGUGUAAGUAACUGUGCACAUCUUGACGGUACCUAAUCAGAAAGCCACGGCUAACUACGUG